GACGUAGGAGGCGAGCGUUGUCCGGAUUCAUUGGGCGUAAAGAGCGCGCAGGCGGCUUGGUAAGUCGGAUGUGAAAUCCCGAGGCUCAACCUCGGGUCUGCAUCCGAUACUGCCCGGCUAGAGGUAGGUAGGGGAGAUCGGAAUUCCUGGUGUAGCGGUGGAAAUGCGCAGAUAUCAGGAGGAACACCCGGUGGCGAAGGCGGAUCUCUGGGCAUGAUCUGACGCUGAGGAGCGAAAGUGUGGGGAGCGAACAGG
rnacentral:rRNA from 1 species